rnacentral:rRNA from 1 species
GACGAACGCUGGCGGCGUGCCUAAUACAUGCAAGUCGAGCGAAGCGGCGGACGGGUGAGUAACACGUAAGGAACCUACCGAUAUUCGUGUGACAACAUCCGGAAACGGUUGCUAAUAUCGCAUACUGAUCGAUGGCCUGCGGUGCAUUAGCUCGUUGGUGGGGUAACGGCCUACCAAGGCAAUGAUGCGUAGCCGACUUGAGAGGGGAAUCUGCCACAGUGGGACUGAGACACGGCCCAAAGUCCUACGGGAGGCAGCAGUAGGGAAUCUUGCGCAAUGGGAGCAAGCCUGACGGAGCAACGCCGCGUGAGUGAAGAAGGUUUUCGGAUCGUAAAGCUCUGUUGUACGAGAAGCGGUAUCUUACCAGAAAGCCCCGGCUAACUACGUGCCAGCCGCCGCGGUAAUAC